rnacentral:rRNA from 1 species
CCGCGAGGCGGAGCAAAUCCCUAAAAGCCAUCCCAGUUCGGAUCGCAGGCUGCAACCCGCCUGCGUGAAGUUGGAAUCGCUAGUAAUCGCGGAUCAGCAUGCCGCGGUGAAUACGUUCCCGGGCCUUGUACACACCGCCCGUCACACCAUGAGAGUCGGGAACACCCGAAGUCCGUAGUCUAACCGCAAGGGGGACGCGGCCGAAGGUGGGUUCGAUAAUUGGGGUGAAGUCGUAACAAGGUAGC